CCCGCUGAACUUAAGCAUAUCAAUAAGCAGAGGAAAAGAAACUAACAAGGAUUCCCUUAGUAGCGGCGAGCGAAGCGGGAAGAGCUCAAAUUUGAAAGCUGGCGUCCUUCGGGCGUCCGCAUUGUAAUCUAUAGAGGCGUUUUCUGUGCUGGACCGUGUCCAAGUCCCUUGGAACAGGGUAUCAAAGAGGGUGACAAUCCCGUACUUGACACGACAACCAGUGCUCUGUGAUACGUCUUCUACGAGUCGAGUUGUUUGGGAAUGCAGCUCAAAAUGGGUGGUGAAUUCCAUCUAAAGCUAAAUAUUGGCGAGAGACCGAUAGCGAAACAGUACCGUGAGGGGAAGAUGAAAAGCACUUUUGGAAGAGAGUUAAACAGUAUGUGAAAUUGUUGAAAGGGAAACGAUGGAGGUCAGUCGUGUCUGUGGGAUUCAGCCGUCUCUGGCGGUGUACUUCCCACAGACGGGUCAACAUCAGUUUUGGUCGGCGGAUAAAGGCAGGAGGAAGGUGGCACCCUCGGGUGUGUUAUAGCCUCUUGUUGCAUACGCUGGCUGAGACUGAGGAAUGCAGCUCGCCUUUAUGGCCGGGGUUCGCCCACGUUCGAGCUUAGGAUGUUGACAUAAUGGCCUUCAACGACCCGUCUUGAAACACGG
rnacentral:rRNA from 1 species